GUGGGCAAGCAUGGGCCAAAAAGAAGAGGCAGCACACCGUCAUAAAGUUUUUCAAGGAUUUCAGGUUUAUUUAUUGUUCCUCUUAAAAGCAUUUACUGUGGCAUACAUAUGUUAAUGAAUUAGACAUAUUCAAUUGUUAGUUUAGUUGUUUAUCCUGUCUGUUGAUUAUAAUAUGGUCUUAUUAACUAUUUCCUGUUGAAGAUAACUAAAACAGUUGUGACUGUCAUCGUGCUCAAUCAAAGUAACAAGGAGCUGUUUGGGUUCAUAUAAAAUAUGUGGCUCAUAUUUUGACAUUUUAUUAAAUUGCAGGUGGAUGAAGAUCUGAUGAAAUUAGCUGGACCAAAUGCUUACUUUAUGCAUUGUUUGCCAGCUGAGAGGGGUGUGGAGGUGACA
rnacentral:misc_RNA from 1 species